rnacentral:rRNA from 1 species
GACGAACGCUGGCGGCGUGCCUAAUACAUGCAAGUCGAACGCAGUGGGGACGGGUGAGUAACACGUGGGUAACAUCCCAUCAGAGGGGAUAACACUUGGAAACAGGUGCUAAACCGAUACUGAUGGAUGUACCCGCGGUGCAUUAGUUAGUUGGUGAGGUAACGGCUCACCAAGGCCACGAUGCAUAGCCGACGUGGGCGAGGGCUCGGCCACACUGGGACUGGGACACGGCCCGUACUCCUCCGGGAGGAAGCGGUGGGGAAUCUUCGGCAAUGGACGAAAGUCUUGCCUGGCAACGCCGCUUGGGUGAAGAAGGUUUUCGGAUCGUAAGCCUCUUUUGUUAGGGAAGCGGUAUCUGACCAGAAAGCCACGGCUAACUACGUGCCAGCAGCCGCGGUAAUAC